CGCGCACACACCGCCCGUCACUCUCCCCAAGCCAGCCAACGUUUAUAAAUAAUACAUCUUAUCGGUAAAGGGGAGGCAAGUCGUAACAUGGUAAGUGUACCGGAAGGUGCGCUUGGAAAAAU
rnacentral:rRNA from 1 species